UCCGGCGUAGCUCAGGGGUAGAGCGAGCGGCUGUUAACCGCUUGGUCGUAGGUUCAAAUCCUACCGCCGGAG
rnacentral:tRNA from 6 species